rnacentral:rRNA from 1 species
AACGAACGCUGGCGGCGUGGAUAAGGCAUGCAAGUCGAACGCGAAAGUUCCCCUUCGGGGGGCCGGUAGCGUGGCGAACGGGUGAGUAACACGUGAGCAACCUACCCUCGAGUGGGGGAUAAGGCCCGAAAAGCCGGUAAUACCGCAUGAUGUUCCGGGAUUGCAUAGUCCUGGGACCAAAGGUGGGGAUCCGCAAGGACCUGCCGCUUGAGGAUGGGCUCGCGGUCCAUUAGGUAGUUGGUGAGGUAACGGCCCACCAAGCCUAUGAUGGAUAGCUGGUCUGAGAGGAUGGUCAGCCACACUGGGAUUGAGGAUACGGCCCAGACUCCUACGGGAGGCUG